rnacentral:rRNA from 1 species
UACGUAGGGUGCGAGCGUUAAUCGGAAUUACUGGGCGUAAAGUGUGCGCAGGUGGCCGCGCAAGUCGAGUGUGAAAUCCCCGAGCUUAACUUGGGAAUUGCGCUCGAAACUACGUGGCUCGAGUGUGGCAGAGGAAGGUGGAAUUCCACGUGUAGCGGUGAAAUGCGUAGAUAUGUGGAGGAAUACCGAUGGCGAAGGCAGCCCCCUGGGAUAACACUGACGCUCAUGCACGAAAGCGUGGGGAGCAAACAGG